rnacentral:rRNA from 1 species
GAUGAACGCUGGCGGCAUGCCUAACACAUGCAAGUCGAUCGGUAAGGCUCUUCGGAGUACACGAGAGGCGGACGGCUGAGUAACGCGUAGGAACACACCCUGCAGUGAGGGAUAAGACACCGAAAGGUGUUCUAAUACCGCAUACGGUCUUCGGAUUAAAGCAUUUAUGCGCUGAAGGAGUGGCCUGCGUCAUAUUAGAUAGUUGGUGAGGUAAUGGCUCACCAAGUCGAUGAUGUGUAGCUGGUCUGAGAGGAUGAUCAGCCAGACUGGAACUGAGACACGGUCCAGACUCCUACGGGAGGCAGCUGUGAGGAAUAUUUCACAAUGAGCGAAAGCUUGAUGGAGCAAUGCCGCGUGCAGGAUGAAGGCCCUCGGGUUGUAAACUGCUUUUAUAAGAGAAGAUUAUGACGGUAACUUAUGAAUAAGGGACGGCUAACUACGUG